ACGCCAAUCUUUUAUCAACCUGUGCACCUUUGUAGACCUGGAUAUCUCUCGAGGAAGCUCGGUAUAAGGACUGCUGUGCGUCAAGCCAGCUUUCCUUGCAUUUCUGGUCUAUGUCUUUAAUCUACACCUGAAGUAUGUGAAUGAAUGUCAUUGUUGGGUGUAAUUGCCUUUACAACCUAAUACAACUUUCAACAACGGAUCUCUUGGCUCUCGCAUCGAUGAAGAACGCAGCGAAAUGCGAUAAGUAAUGUGAAUUGCAGAAUUCAGUGAAUCAUCGAAUCUUUGAACGCACCUUGCGCUCCUUGGUAUUCCGAGGAGCAUGCCUGUUUGAGUGUCAUGAAAUUCUCAACCUUUCUCAGCUUUUACUAGUUGGAUUAGGCUUGGAUGUUGGGAGUUUUUGCGGGCUUCUCAGAAGUCAGCUCUCCUUAAAUGCAUUAGUGGGGAUCUCUAGUUGUCCUUAGCUCUUGGUGUGAUAAUUAUCUAUGCCAUUCUGCGGGUGCAGCUUUUAAAUAUGGGGUCACUGCUUUCUAACUGUCUGUUUUGAGACUACUUAUGACAAUUUGACCUCAAAUCAGGUAGGACUACCCGCUGAACUUAAGCAUAUCAAUAAGCGGAAGGA
rnacentral:rRNA from 1 species